rnacentral:rRNA from 1 species
AGGGCACCACCAGGAGUGGAGCCUGCGGCUUAAUUUGACUCAACACGGGAAAACUUACCCGGCCCGGACACUGGAAGGAUUGACAGAUUGAGAGCUCUUUCUUGAUUCAGUGGGUGGUGGUGCAUGGCCGUUCUUAGUUGGUGGAGCGAUUUGUCUGGUUAAUUCCGAUAACGAACGAGGCUCUAGCCUACUAAAUAGACUACCGUUCCUUUGUGACGGUAGGACUUCUUAGAGGGACAGGCGGCGACUCAGCCGCACGAAACAGAGCAAUAACAGGUCUGUGAUGCCCUUAGAUGUCCGGGGCCGCACGCGCGCUACACUGAAGUGAUCAGCGUGCAUUAAUAACCCUCUCUGUCAAGAGUGGGUAACCCAUUGAACCUUCUUCGUGAUUGGGAUAGGGUAUUGUAAUUCUUACCCUUGAACGAGGAAUUCCCAGUAAGCGCGAGUCAUAAGCUUGCGUUGAUUACGUCCCUGCCCUUUGUACACACCGCCCGUCGCUACUACCGAUUGAAUGAUUUA